CAGUGUCUGGUGGGUAGUUUGACUGGGGCGGUCUCCUCCUAAAGAGUAACGGAGGAGCACGAAGGUUGGCUAAUCCUGGUCGGACAUCAGGAGGUUAGUGCAAUGGCAUAAGCCAGCUUGACUGCGAGCGUGACGGCGCGAGCAGGUGCGAAAGCAGGUCAUAGUGAUCCGGUGGUUCUGAAUGGAAGGGCCAUCGCUCAACGGAUAAAAGGUACUCCGGGGAUAACAGGCUGAUACCGCCCAAGAGUUCAUAUCGACGGCGGUGUUUGGCACCUCGAUGUCGGCUCAUCACAUCCUGGGGCUGAAGUAGGUCCCAAGGGUAUGGCUGUUCGCCAUUUAAAGUGGUACGCGAGCUGGGUUUAGAACGUCGUGAGACAGUUCGGUCCCUAUCUGCCGUGGGCGCUGGAAGAUUGAGGGGGGCUGCUCCUAGUACGAGAGGACCGGAGUGGACGCAUCACUGGUGUUCGGGUUGUCAUGCCAAUGGCACUGCCCGGUAGCUACAUGCGGAAGAGAUAAGUGCUGAAAGCAUCUAAGCACGAAACUUGCCCCGAGAUGAAUCUUCCCUGAGCCUUUAAGGCUCCUGAAGGAACGUUGAAGACGACGACGUUGAUAGGCCGGGUGUGUAAGCGCAGCGAUGCGUUGAGCUAACCGGUACUAAUGAACCGUGAGGCUUAACCUUACAACGCCGAA
rnacentral:rRNA from 1 species